AUUUGGCGAGUGAUCUGCCCAAAUCACUGGCCAAAUCGCCCACAGAUCAGGCAGUCCCUUUCCUUCUCCUUAUUAAUUUUUUUUUUCAUAUAAAUGUUUAACCAUUGAGGACAAUGUUUGGGAUAGGUGUGGGGGUAUUUACUGUUAGGUUAUAUUUUUUUCGUUUACAUUAUCUUUUUGCUUUCUUUUUGUUUCUUUUUGCAUCUUUUUGCCCCAUAAACACACCAAAAUUUUUUUUCACACAUUUUUUUCACUUUUUGCACACACACACAAAAUUUUGUCUUAACUUUUGCUCUACUCAGCAUAGGUAACAAGGUUAAAAGAGCUCCCUAUCUCAUGACCCCAUUGAUUUACCACCCCUUUAAGCCUAAAUUGAAUCACUUACAGUGUGCUACCUUCACUUAGGAAGUUCUUUUCUUGAAUUGAAUCCUUAAAUUUGCUAUGGUCAAGG
rnacentral:lncRNA from 1 species